rnacentral:lncRNA from 1 species
UAUGGCUUCUCUUGUGUUUUCCCGUGGUUCUUGGGCUUUGUAAGAUCUGGAUACAUUUUCUUCUUCUCCCCUAGAGUAACUUCAAGAAGUACUUCAUCAGUUUUUGCAGAUGUAAAACCACGUCAUGAGUCAGUUGGUAUUUUCUGCUCAAAGAGCUCUGUGAUGAAGUUGGAGCACCAAAUAGCCAUUAAAAAUAUUUAUCAAGGCUGGGCAUGCUGGCUCAUGCCUACUUGGAAGGUGGAGAUCUGAAGGAUUGCAGUUCAAGGCCAGCCAAGGCAAAAAGUUAGCAAGACCCUGUCUCAAGAAAUAAGCUGGGUGUGGUGGUGCAUGCCUGUGAUACCAGCUACAAGGAAGUCAUGGUAAGAGGACUGAGAUCUGCAGCCAGCCCUGGGCAAAAAUGUCAAGCCCUAUCUGAAAAAUAACAAAAGCCAAAAAAGGGCUGGGUGUGUAGCUCAAGGGGUAGCGCUACAAGUGCAAGACCCUGAGUUCUUACCCCAGUGUCCCACCAAGAAAAUUAUCAAAAGAAUUGUUUGUGAUAAUAUUUAAUGGAAAGAACUUGAGGAUUUUUUUUUUUGCAAUUCUGGUGUUUGAACUCAGGUCCUCACGCUUGGUAAGCAGGUUUUCUGGCACUUGAGCCACACUCCAAGCC